AAUGGGUCUAAUAAUAGAGUGACCACAUAAGUUUGGUGCUUCUGAAGCUAAUAGCUCCAAACAAUCUCUUCAACGUACUGGGUUGAUUUUUCCCUUUGGGCUGGAGAGCGUCGGCACGGCAAAAGAUCCUACAGCACUGACAGCCAGGGCCAGAGAAUCCACGUCAGCACAAGACCAAAGAAAGCUCCAAAGAUAUGAAGCACCAGGAUGCAGUUCAAAUGUACCUACGGUAUAAUCAACAACCAUGCUCUGAAUUAUUUUCAAGAGGCGAAUUCACCUAUGAUUUACUACGGUAUGCUUUUUCUUUUUUUUUUUAACUUGUCAACAUCAAGUCUUUGAAACAAAAGCUUCCUUACCGGUAGCAAAGUCUGCAGGAGCCACUCAUUCAGGACGAAGCCAAAUACCUCCAUCAGUGCCAUGAUAGUUAGAUGGACAGGAUUUGUUUUUCCUUGCACAGCCCCAAUUGAGAUGAGAACCGAGGCUGUGCACAUUUCAGCAACCACCAAGCUACAUGUUAAAAUGCCCAUUACAUUAUGUUUCUAAUGACUUCAAGCAACAUGAAAUGUGAUACAGUACCUACUCAGGUCGAUCCAAAUCUUCCCUCUGUAAUACCAGGACUCAAAGCCAUUGAGUAUGAGUGCCCAUUGGAUGGCAAUGACAGCUAUAAGAAGGUUGAAGCCUGAACCACUGAAGCCAUAGCGUACUAAAAAAGUGCUCAAGAAGCCAAAACCUAAAAAGACCAUCACAUUUAAAUCCUGGAACACUGCAAAAAAAAAA